rnacentral:piRNA from 1 species
UUAUUUUAGAAGCCAAUUUAG